rnacentral:rRNA from 1 species
AAGAGAUCGGGAUAACACCUAGGAAACAGAUGCUAAUACCGGAUAACAACAGAUGAUGCCUAUCAACUGUUUAAAAGAUGGUUCUGCUAUCACUCUUGGAUGGACCUGCGGUGCAUUAGCUAGUUGGUAGGGUAACGGCCUACCAAGGCGAUGAUGCAUAGCCGAGUUGAGAGACUGAUCGGCCACAUUGGGACUGAGACACGGCCCAAACUCCUACGGGAGGCAGCAGGG